CUAGGGACCCAUCCAAUGCCCGUAAAUAACCCACAAAAACGUCUACGGAGUCUCUAUGGAUACAAAAGAAAGUAAUGAUAAUGCCUGACACAAGGCCCCAGCCAUACCUCAAAAGUGGUAAUUUAUAACAAAAGAUGUACAACAUAACCCCUUGAAGAACAGGUGCUCACCAUGAUUUUUUGAGAGGAGGAUACCCUGCUACCUGCGAUUGGUACUAUCCGCUAUAGAACCACCUAUAUUCAUUUCAAAAAAUGUAGUGCUCCUAGCAAAAAGGAUGUUAGUACCAUGAAAUAGUAUCAGUAUGAAUAAACAAACACCAUCUUAUUAGAAAGAACUAUCAUACAAGAACAAGAAAAUCACAAGAGACAAUCAAAGCAUUAACCGAACACCAUAUCAUCAAAUAAAACAAUCAUAUAACAUUCAAGUAGUUUCCAUAGAUUUAGCUUGGGACAUUUCAUACUGGUCAUCAUCAUCAUUUACAAUACCACCACUUUCUUGAGCAGAUUCUGAUAAUGACUAAAUCUGGUAGGUUGCCUCAUUUGAGACAUUUACCUUAAUCACAAUCUCAUUCGCACUUUCGAAAUUUAAUAUCAGCACAUUACCACCAUGUAUGUGGCGUGGCAUCAGAUCACGGCCUGAUCGGUUGGGCCUCUUUACCAAGACGUUGUUCCUUCUCAUUAAUCAUCUCAUUUCAAUCUUUAUUCAACAUAUAUCAAUUCAAAGGCACUUGGGGCCACAAUUAUCACAUCAUUUCCACUCUCAAUGUUAACCUUACAAUUUAGGAUCACACGAACAUACAAAAGCAAUUCAAGUUAUAAGUAUAGGUAAGACUUCACAUAGUUGGCAUGACAAUCUCAGUUUUAAUCUUGAUGUGAACUAUAGAAAUUUCAACACAUGGUUCAUAUUCUGUGCACAUCAUUAAAUAUCUAGUAUAGUACACUGCACAUAUUGAGGCACACCUUUCAUAUGUGUAUGUGUGUGUGUGUGUGUGUGUAUAUAUAUAUAUAUAUAUAUAUAUAUAUAUAUAUAUAUNNNNNNNNNNNNNNNNNNNNNNNNNNNNNNNNNNNNNNNNNNNNNNNNNNNNNNNNNNNNNNNNNNNNNNNNNNNNNNNNNNNNNNNNNNNNNNNNNNNNNNNNNNNNNNNNNNNNNNNNNNNNNNNNNNNNNNNNNNNNNNNNNNNNNNNNNNNNNNNNNNNNNNNNNNNNNNNNNNNNNNNNNNNNNNNNNNNNNNNNNNNNNNNNNNNNNNNNNNNNNNNNNNNNNNNNNNNNNNNNNNNNNNNNNNNNNNNNNNNNNNNNNNNNNNNNNNNNNNNNNNNNNNNNNNNNNNNNNNNNNNNNNNNNNNNNNNNNNNNNNNNNNNNNNNNNNNNNNNNNNNNNNNNNNNNNNNNNNNNNNNNNNNNNNNNNNNNNNNAUUGUUUUUGAAUUUUAUAUAUAUAUAUAUAUAAAAUUCAAAACCAAUUCAUGCGAAAUAAUAAUCAAUACAUCAAUCAAAUUCUAGUCUUACCAUAUUUGCAUAGAAAUCAACAGCCUUAAUUUUUAAGAAGAGGGGUCUUUAGCCAUACAUACCUCGAUAAAGCUUUCCUUAAAUUCUUAUAAAAUUCCGGAACACUUAGCGACAUUAAUCUGUUUUAUGAGAAUUACAAAUUAAACCAUGAAUUAUAGACAUGAUUAAUAUUGUAGCUCAUUUGAGUAUAUUAUCAAGCACUAAGUGUGCAUUGUGAUUUUAGGACCCUUUUUGAGAGAUUUUUAUCAUCUUACCCCCAAUUGCUAUCUUUUUAGCUCACAAUCUCCCUAUACCCCAUUAUCACUAACUCAUGCAAGAUAACCAACCCUUAUACUCAUGAACCCAUUUGUUAAUCACUUAUUUUAAUAGAAAUUUUUAAAUCACAGAUUAGGACUCAAGUUAUUACCUCUUAGGUUGAAGGCCUAGAAAAUUUUAGUUGAAAGUCUUCAAAGAUUUUGGCAAGGAUUGUAGUGACUUUUUGAGAGAUAGUUCCUCCCUCUAGAACUCCCUAUCUCGCUCUAUUUGCUGCAAAAUAGCAUAAAAAGGGUCUAAUGGGGUGUUUUAAUGGGAUGGGGUCGGUUUUAAAAGUUAGAAAAUAGGAGCCCGACACAACCUGUGAUCACAAAAUGGACAUACAGCCCAAAAAAGGGACCGCAAAAUGGCCCCCAAAAAAUGAAAAUACUGCCUGGGUAUGCGACUAUAAUGAGGUCCGCAUACCUAUUAUACGGUCGCAUAAUGCAUCGCAGAAAUGCCCUUCGAAAAAUUUCAAAGAGAUUAUGUGAUAACUAUGCGGACCACAUAUUGAAUAUGCGAUCACAUAAUGGGUCGCAUAGUUGAUAUAAAAUUGACCAUCACACUGCCUCACUUUGCAGUCCGCACAACUAUUAUGCGGCUACAUAAUGGACCGCGGAAACAUGCUUUUCUAAAAACCUAAUUCCUUUUCUUUUAUUACACAGAUCAAUCCAAAAAGGUCUGAACAAAAUUUUAGCACAUAUCCCCAACUUGGCAUUACGAGAUUUCGGGGUUUUGAGUAAAAAAUUAAUGGGUCCUUACAUCCUCCUCCACGUAAGAUCAUUCAUCCUCGAAUGAGGUUCAAGAUUCACUUAUUAGGAAUCCUUAUGCAACUUCGGCUUUUCACAUCAUGAAACAUAUCAACAGCCUUAAAUUUAGGUUAAUUGCCUAAAUUUCCAAAAAGAAUUUCAGAGUUUCCUUUGUAACUAAGUAUAUCCACCUAUCAGAGAGACUCAAAAACAUAUCCUAACAGCAUAUACACAAUCCAUAGACAUGACAUUACUUGUAACGACACCAACCAUGGCCGCAUAGGCAACACACAACCAAAAUAGAAUAGCUUUGCAUAGACCAAACCAAAGGAUACAAAUUUCAUAGCAACCAAAUUCAUAAAAGCUAUUACAUGGCUAUACAAAUAAAUGUAGGUACUUCCUUUUCAUUAAUUCCUCUGCUUCCCAAGUUGCUUCUUCAACCUGUUGGUUACACUAUUACAAUUUUAUGGUGGUAAUUUCCUUAUUUCUCAAUUUAUGGACUUGCCUGUCAAGAAUGGCAACUGGAACUUCUUCAUAUGACAGUUCUUCAUUAACCUCAAUAGUCUCAACCGGCACAAUAGUGGACGGAUCUCCCACUACCUUUUUCAAUAUAGACACAUGGAAGACUGGGUAUACCAAUGGCAUCUCGGGUGGCAGCUUGAGCUUGUAUGCCACCUGACCAAUCCUCUGAAUUAUUCUGUACGGUCCGACAUACCUCUAACUCAAUUUUCUUUUCUUUUGAAAAGACAUGAUACCCUUCAAGGGGGAACCUUCAGAAAUACCCAAUCAUCUUCUUUGAACUCUAAAUCUCUGCCACAAAUGUCCAAAUAAGACUUUUGGCGAUUCUGAGCUGUUUUCAACCAUACCUUGAUAAUCUUGACUUUUCCAUAGCCUGAUGCACAAGGUUAGGCCCUAUCAAUUCAGCUUCUCCAACUUUGAGACACCCGAUAGGGGAUCUACAUUUCCUAGCAUACAAUGCUUCAAUUGGUGCCAUCUGGGUACUAGCAUGGAAGCUGUUGUUAUAAGCAAACUCUAUUAGUUGAAAAUGAUCAUCCAAACUACCUUUGAAAUCAAGAACAAAAGCACGCAACAUGUCCUCAAACGUCUGAAUAGUCCACUCUGCUUUCCCGUUAGUUUGAGGAUGAAAAGUUAUACUAAGAUUUACCUGCGUACCAAAACCUUACUGAAAUUUCUUCCAAAAGUUAGUCGUGAACUGAGCCCCUCGAUGUAAAAUUAUUGAAACUAGAGUGCCAUGCGAUCUGACUAUUUCUCAUACAUACAACAUAGCAUACAUUUUUGAUGUGUCAGUAGAUUUGACUGGCAAGGAGUGCACUUAUUUUGUGAGUCGAUCCACGAUCACUCAAAUUAAGUCAAACUUGCACAGAGUGCGCGGUAAUCCCAUCGUAAAAUCCAUGUUGAUCAUUUCACAUUUCCACAUUGUAAUUUCUAUGUUUUGAGCCAAUCCAUCGGGUCUUUAAUGUUCGACUUUAACUUAAUGACAUUUCGGACAUCUAGCCACAAAGUCCGCCAGAUCACUUUUCAUUUUUUCCACCAAUAAACUUCCUUGAGAUCAUAAUACAUUUUUGUAGAACUUGGGUGCACAGAAUACCUGGAAGUAUGAGCUUCUGCCAUGAUCCUCUCCCAAAGACCGUCAAUAUUUUGAAAACAUAGGCGGCCUUGGUACCGUAGGGUACCAUCGUCCAUGCCAAAGGACAAAGUUGCGAUCUUGUGUUUAUGAAUACUCUCAUUCACUUGUUCCAACAAUGGAUCAUUGAAUUGUUUCUCUUUCAUCUCCACCACAAGCGAUGAUUCAACCUUAUUCUACACAAUUACUCCUCCUUCAUUAGAGUCCGCAAGAUGAACUCCCAUACUAGCCAACUGGUAAACCUCCUGGGCCAACGGCCUUUGAUAUGCCUUCAAAUGAGCCAAACUUCCCAUAGCUUUGUAGCUAAUAGCAUCUUCCACAAUGUUCGCCUUUCCCGGGUGGUGGAGAAUAUCGAUAUUAUAGUCCUUGAGUAACUCUAGCCGUCUUCUCUGUUCAAAUUCAACUCCGUUUGUUUGAAAAUAUAUUGGAGGCUCUUGUGGUCCAUAAAUACAUCCACAUGGACCCCAUACAAAUAAUGUCGCCAAAUCUUUAGUGCAAACACCAUUACCGCAAGCUCUAAGUAAUGGGUUGUAUAUGUCUUUUCAUGGUUCUUGAGUUGCCUAAAAAUGUAGGCAAUUACCUUGUCGUGCUGCAUUAACGCACACUUGAGUCCAAUCCAUGAAGCAUCGCAAUGCAUCACAAUUCCAUAUGUACCCUCCGUCAGGUUUAAUAUCGGUGUUGUUUUCAAUCUUGAUUUCAAUUCUUGGAAGCUCCUCCCACAAGCAUCGGACCACUGGAACUUAACUUCUUUCUGCGUCAAUUUAGUCAAUGGAGAGGCAAGAGUAGAAAAUACAUCGACAAAACUUUUGUAGUACCUGGCCAAACCCAAGAAACUACGAAUCUGUAUUGGGGUUGUAGGUUUAGGCCAAUUCUUCACAGCUGAAAUCUUUUAUGGAUUCACCAUAAUUCCUUCCUUGGAGAUGACAUGACCCAAGAAAGUGACGGAUCCAAGCCAAAAUACACAUUUUGAAAAUUUUGCAUACAACGGGUGCUAUAGAAGAGUCUAAAGAACUGCCCUGAUAUGGUCAGCAUAAUCCUUUCGACUUUGGGAAUACAUAAGGAUAUCGUCAACGAACAAUAUGAGAAAAGAGUCCAAAAAAGGCUUGAAGACUUGAUUCAUAAGAUCCAUGAAAGGUGCCGGGGAAUUUGUUAGCCUAAAGGACAUCACCAAAAAUUCAAAGUGCCAUUACCUAGUCCUGAAAGCUAUUUUGGGAAUAUAUUGCUCCUUUAUCUUCAACUGAUCUUACCCGAAUCACAAGUAAAUUUUUGAGAAACACGUAGCACUUUGUAAUUGAUCAAACAAGUUAUCUAUCCUUGGUAGAGGGUAUUUACUUUUUAUUGUGAUUUUCUUAAAUUACCGAUAGUCAAUACACAUCUGUAGCAAGCCAUCUUUCUUCCUUGCAAACAAAACUGGUGCGCUCCAUGGUGACACACUCGGCCGGAUGAAGCCGUUCUUUAGCAAAUCUUUCAAAUGUUCAUUUUGAUCUUUUAAUUUUGUCGGCGCAAUUCUGUAAGGUGGAAUUGAUAUAGGUUGAGUGCCUGGAAUUACGUCAAUCCUAAAAUCAAUCUUCCUGACUGGUGGGAUCCCAGGGAGCUUAUCUAGAAAGACAUCUAGAAAUUCAUUCACAACAGGUACGGAAUCAAGACUAGGUGCCUCAGCAUCGGUGUCCGUAAUUCAAACAAAAUGAUAGAUAUACCCCUUUUUGAUCAUCUUUGCAGCCUUAUGGCAAGAAAUAAACCAACCUUUAGGUAGUACAUUAUCUCUUAUCCAUUCAACAACGGGCUCAUCAGGAAACUCGAGACUCAUAGGUCUAGUUCGUCAAUCAACUUUGGAAAAACAUUAAUAAAGCCUAUCCAUUCUCAUUAUUACAUCAAAAUCGACCAUCCCCAAUUUAAUAAGAUCGGCCAUGGUAUCCCUACCACGCACCAUAACAACACAAUCUCUAUAAACUUGAGCAGUCGUAGUAGACUCACCAACCGGAGUAGACACCAGAAAUGGCUCAUGAAGAUGAUACGGUUCUAUCCCAAAUCCCACAGCAACAAAAUGGUUAACAUAGGACAAGGUAGAACUGCGGUCAAUAUGUAAAUACACAUCAUAAGAUUGGACAGUCAGAGUACCUAUAACAACAUCAGGAGAAGUAUCUACAGUCUGGCGACCACUCAUAGCAUUGAACCGGUUAGGUCCUCCCGAACUCUAUGCACCCCCUAGCUGUACUAUGCCCUUCAGGUGCUGGGGGAACCUCGAGUUGGAGAGGGGGUUGAAGAUGUAGCAGUUACUAGGCUGGAUGGCUGUGCUGUGCCACUACCCGCUCAUUGGAGGGAUACACGACAAUACCUCUGAAUAUAGGUUAUGGGUAACUCCAAGUAGCAAAACUCUGAGUGUAUUUUCCGGCACCUGGGGCAAGGGGACCUCUGUUACUUGUGGGAUCUCUCUCCUGACCAACCCCACUUAUGGGAUCCCUUUUUGCCCUUACCGGGGUUGAAACAACUCCACUACUGCUGCUGGCUGGGCCCUGAUGGCGGUGCACUGAUCGAAGACUAUCCAGUAGACCGGGAAGGCCCUAAUGAUCCUCCACUGAAAGUUGAUCUUCCCCCACCUAGUGAGUCUCCAUAUUGCCUAUACACUGCGCCUUGCUGUUACCCUCUCUUUCCAUCAUGUUGUUCAGUUUACGUUCUCUGUGGCCCGAGCAAAUUCCACCAUCUUCCCAUAAUUCAUGUAAGAAUUCAAGGAAACUAUAAAUGCUUCAUUAAUAGUAAAACAAUUAAGGCCCUCAACAAACCAGUGCACCCUGGCCUAGAUUGUGGGCAACAUGUGAACAACAUACAUUGAUAGGAGGACAGACUCCAUGUGGUACUCCGCUGCACGGGCUGGAAAUGAUCAAUAAAGGCAUCGGCAAAUUCGCUCCGCCUCGCCGGGGAGCUCCCCUCUAUACUAGAAUCUUCCAACAAUUUAAACCACGAAUAGGCCACCCCUUUCAGUCGGUAGGCAGCCAACUCUACUCCUUAUUUAUCAGUUGCACGGAUAACCAUAAGGGUCUUGUGCAUCUCAAUAAUAAAAUCAUGGGGCCCUCUUCUUGAUUUGCACCCGUAAACACUUGAGGGUCUAACUGAAGAAAUAUGUUCACCCUGGAACUCGUGGAAUCCCCUUGCUGGCCAGCCAAACUGGGUGUAACAGUUGACCUCUAGGCAUGAGAGGCUACUAGCUGAGUCAACAUCUCAAUAGGUCCCCUAAGAUCCCCAUCAAAAUUACCAGAACCGGAAGUUGGGGCUGGAGGUGGAAAAAGAGUAUCAACGGGAGGGAUAGUGGUAACCUCCAUAGGUGUAGAAACUGGGGUAGUAUGCUCUGGAAUAGAAGAAUCAUGCAUGGUGAUAGUAGGGCAACUACCCUCACCCGUAGUAUCAAGUAAUGAAUCAUCAACCACUCCUGAGGUGGCAUUCGCUUCUUGGCCAAUGCUCACUUUCUUCUUAGGUAUCAUUUAAUAAAAGAUAGAACAAUGCACGAGUUAUAGGAAACAACCUCACAUCCCGCUCUAACACACUAUAUAGAACAAUAAUGAAGGGUAUUAUUCCUAAAUGUCCAAGUAGCCUCCAACUUAUAGAUGUGGUCGACUACACACCGAUAAGAAGGACCCUACUAGACACGGCUCCGAGACAUCCUAGGACACUUUAAAACCUUAGGCUCUGAUACCAUGUUUGUCACCCCCAACCUCGGGAAGCGUAGUCAGCUCUCAAUCAAGUGAACUCAACCGAGCAAGCCUUAUGAAAAACUUUCUACCCGACUCAAUAUGAUUAAGGAAACCAUGCUUUUGUUUAUUUAGACAAUAGGAAAGAUCGUAAAUUCAACAUUGUUAGUUAAUUUUAUAUCAUAACCUUAACCCAUGAUUAAAUUUCCAAGAUUCCAUACAGUUACAAUUUAGAGAAAACAAGAGUUUAGAAUUAUAACAUAGUUUAGGGACCCGUCCAAUGCCCGUACAUCACCCACACAAAUGUCUACGGAGCUUGUAAGGAUACAAAUGACAGUUAUAAUAAUACUGACAACAAGGCCCCGACCAUACCUCAAAAGAUGUACAGCAUAACCCCCAGAAGAAAAGGGGCUCACAAGAAUUUUCUGAUGGAGGAUACCCUGCUACCUUAGAUCAGCACUGUCCACAAUAAAACCACCUACCUUCAUUUAAAAAAUGUAGCACCCCCGACAAAAGGGACAUUAGUACAAUGGAAUAGCACUAGAAUAUAUAACUAAAAACCAUCAUAUUAGAAAGAACUAUCAUACAAGAGUAGGGAAAUCAUAAGAGACAAUCAAAGGUUUAACCGAACACCACAUAAUAAAAUAAAAGAAUCAUAUAACUUUCACGUAGUUUCAUUGCUUUAGUUUGGGGCAUUUCAUACUGUUCAUUAUUAUUAUUCAAAAUACUACCGCUUUCUUAAGCAGAGUUCGAUCAUAGCCUGAUCGGCUAGGUUUCCUCAUUUGAGACAUGUCCCUCAAUCACAAUCUCAUUCUCACUUUCUGAAAUUCAAUAUCAGCACAAUAUCACUAUGGCAUCUGAUCAUGGCUUGAUCGGCUAGGCCGCCAUACCAAGACAUUCCUUUCUCAUUAAUCAUCUCAUUUCAAUCUUCUUCCAUAUAUAUCAAUUCAUAGGCACUUCAGGCCAAAAUUAUCACAUAAUUUCCACUUUCUAUUUUAACCUUGCAAUUUACCAUCAUAGACACAUAAAAAAGAAAUUCAAAAUGUAAGUAUAGGUAAGAUUUCACAUAGUUGGCAUGACAAUCUCAAUUUUAAUCUUGAUGUGAAGUCUAGGACUUUCAACACAUGGUUCAUAUGCUUUGCACAUCAUUAAAUAUCUUGGAUAGUACAUAGCACAUAUUGAGGCACACCUUUCAUGUGUAUGUGUAUGUGUGUGUGUGUGUGUGUAUAUAUAUAUAUAUAUAUAUAUAUAUUUCAAAACCAAUUCAUGCGAAAUAGCAAUCAAUACAUCAAUUAAAUUUUUGUCUUACCACAUAUGCAUAUAUACCAAUGGAGCUCAAUUUCUAAGAAGAGGGGUUUUUAGCCAUACAUACCUCGAUAGGACUUUUCUUAAAUUCUUACAGAAUUCCGGCACUCUUAGCGACUUUGAUAUAUUUUAUGAGAAUUAUAAAUUGAACUAAGAAUUAGGGACAUGAUUAAGAUUAUUGCUCAUUUAAGUAUAUUACCAAGCACUAAGUGUGCAUUGUGAUUUUAGGACCCUUUUGUGAGAUAUUUUUAUCAUCUUACCCCAAAUGUUAUCUUUUUAACUCACAAUCUCCCCAUACCCUAUUAUCACUCAUGAAUAUCGGAUAAUCAACCUUUAUACCCAUGAACCCAUUUGCUAAUCACUUAUUUUAAUAGAAAUUUCGAAAUCAUAUAUUAAGGCUCAAGUUAUUACCUCUUAGGAUAAAGGCCUAGCAAAUUUUACUUGAAAGCCUUCAAUGAUUUGGGCAAGGAUUGUAGUGACUUGGUGAGAGUUAGUUCCUCCUGUCACACCUCCUUUUUCCUAUCCCUAGAAGGGUAAAAGGGAUUUUUUCCUAUUUAAGUAACUAUUGAAAUGGGAUUAUUUAUUUAACAUCAAAGUCACAACCUGGAAUAAUUUAUGGUGUCCCAAGUCACCGUUUUAAUAUCCCGAAUCGAGAAAACUGACUCUUAUUACAGUUUGCGAACACAAGAAUCCAGGUAAUAAAUUUUAUUAACCCGCAAGAAGGUGUUAGGCAUUCCUGCGCUCCGUGGUUCUAGCACGGCCUCUUUGAUCAUACUUGGGUUAAACAAAUUGUCUAAUUGCUUAUUUUAGAACCUAUGUGCAUUGAUCUUUCUCCGCUUUUUAAUUAAGAAAAUUAUCUUGAAAUCGGUCACACGCACGUGUACCCAUUUAUCCGGCACGUCAAAAACCACUUCACGCGAAUGUGUCUGUAAUUAAUAACUCUUUAUUAACGUUGAGAAAAUUUUGCUGAAGUUGCGCGAACGCAUACUCCAGCUUUGUUUUUAGAGAUCGCAACAAUCAUGUCAUGCGAAUGAGUCCACAAUCACAAUGAUAUAUUAAAUGGGCCUAGAUCAACUAUGAGUAUUUGUCCUUUUUAUAUUUAAGUCAAGAAAUUAAUACGAGGGCCAUAUGUGAUUUAAUUAUGGAUGGCACACCUCGAGCUAUACAAACUAAAAUUAACUAAUAGUCCAUGAAAACCCAUUUUUUGUUAUUAUGAAAAAAUUUAUUGAAGUUGCACGGAUGCAUACGCCGAAUUGAUUUUUAGAAUCAUGAUCAUGUUACACGAACCUAUACAUAAUCACGGUAUUAUUUUAAAUGGCCCUAAAGGAUUUCUACAAAUAUUUUAAGGUUAUGAGAUCUCUAGUCCGAUGGCUAGGUGAUUGGGCACGUGAUUGGGGAGUACUUAUUCUUUUUAAACUACUUGUUUCGAGCAUUUGGCCAAACCCAGUCCUGAAACAUGAACACUAUUAAGUGCUAAUGGGUUUUGGUCAAUUCUCACUCCCAUAUUCCAAUACAUUUCACUGUCACGAUUAUAUCAAGCAAGACAAAUGUUAAAACCAGCGAAACAUGGCAAAGAGACUAAGUAAUAGGCUAAACCAUACAUCCACAGUAUGCGAGAUUGGAAAAUCAAGGGAAAAUGGUGACAUAAACAACUAUUAUGGAAGGCAUGACCAAAGUAGUGAACUAUCCCAAGGAUUAUCUUUUGUAAAUGAAUCAAACUGAUUGAGGCAUUCAUUUUAAAUUAAAAACUUUGGUGUCAAAGUUGAUAGUAUUCAAAUAACCAGGAAAAAGGCAGACAAACACCAGCAAUUUACUGUCAGUGCAUGAUAAAGUACGCAAAAUCGUUAUGUAACGACACAAAUGACUAAACAUUAAGAAGUUGAUGACUGUAACCCCUGGUGUUCCUUCAUAAUCAAUUAAUUUCCCUUUCAUAUGCUAGUAAAUAAACCUAGCUGUGACAAUUCGCACUCGUAAAGAAUUCUCAUUUCACAAAAUACUAACUAAAAAUGAAGAUUACUGAAUUUUGCGAGUUCAUAUAAGUUGUAGAGUAUUUGGUCAUGUGUUGAAUUUCAAGCCACAAACCAUAUUCACAUGGAUAAAAUCCUAGUACGAAGGCUUCAUAUUAUUUAAACGAAAUACCAACAGCGCAGAAUUUGCACUCAAGAAAUUAUGCGAACUUGGUGCUUAAACAAUGUAGGACAACGGAAAUUUUCAGCAGCCAUAGUAAUCUAAACAAAUAAUGACUACACUUAGCUACUCUCAAAAGAUAUCCCAGCAACUCUUAUGGGACCUUUAGCAUAAACAAUGCUAAAACAAGGUUGAAGAUGUUUAGCACCAACAUCGAGUCCUAAUAGUAACAUAUAGGUCGUCAACCAAUAACUAAUUUCAAACACUUCCAUUACCUCUCUCACUUGGGAAAAUUCUAAGUAAAAGGCCAUGAAUAAUUUGAUGUGAGCUCUGACUUAAGCAGCUUAAGAGGAAGAGUCCAGGAAAUACCAAUUACGGAAGACAAUUGUUCUCAAUUUAUAAUUCAUUCAAUGACUGAAUAUCUAUAGCAGCAGCACAUAGAGGGUCCAAUGUCCAAAUAGCAUUCAUGUCUCUUAAUACCUAAUAUAUAUACUAACAUACACCUCUACAACAUUAACACAUCAUUAGGGAUUAAACAACGGAGAUAAAAAUACAGUAUCGAUACAUAUUGAAAAUCAAAUCAAAUACACAAAUCAACUAGCUCAAAAGGUACAAAUUUAUUGUUUAAACCCUUGCUAAGUUAUAACUCUUAGAUUGAAUAAGCCAUCAUGUUCAUCCAUUCUAAUACAUUAGGAGGUGAAGUAUAUAUUUGGAUUUCAAAACAAAUAGAAAUUGAUGGCUUAGCAGCAGAAUAGAAGCAGCAAUAAAGUCAGCUUAGGAAACAACAGGGAAAAUAAGAUUUGAACCAGAUUUAAAUCAGCAGAAAUAGUAAGCAGUUCCCAAUAAUCAGAAACAUUACCCAACACUUGAAUCAAACUCUCGACAUUCAGCAAAAAUCAGAUCAUUUCAAUCAGACAGAAUACAAGAAAUAUUUCAGUAAUUGAAGAACUUCAGAAAUCAAAAGAGAGGCAAUGAAACAUUGCUUUUUUUUUACUUUUAGCCGUUUCUCUUUUCUGGACUUUCUAUCUUUUUUUUCCUUGCCUUGAAAGGAAAGAAUGAGAUGUCUUUAUAGUCAAUGCAAUAGGGCAUCUUUAGAUUUUGGUUUUUUUUAUCAAUCCUAUGCCUUUCUAAUUUUUGUUUUUGCUACUUAAUCCCUCAAAUUUUGGCUUGUUUGCCUAGUAAGGCUCUUUUUCAGCUUCUAGGAAGCUUCCUAGGUAGUUAUUUGAGAGAUUCUCACGCCGCAUUUCUAUACUACUCCCGAUUGUCCCUAUUUUUACCAUUAGUAACCAAACAAAUCAAACCUAACCCAAAGCCUUCGGGCUCAAAACAGAUAUGGGCCCUUAAUUCCCUCAAAUAUAUCUUACUACAAGCCCUAAAACUAGUCACAAAUCAGCCCAGUAACAAAUCAAGAAAAGGAUGAUAAGAUCCCCAAAAUAAUUUACAACUCUGAUUUAAACCAAAUGGGAAUCCAAAAUUAACCAUGACAAAUUCCAAUAAAAUACUAAUCUAACUACAUGAAUGAACAUCUUAAAAAUCACUGACUUUAAUUAGAUUGAAACUAAUUCGAGUCUCGUGACAGAACAAGAACUCAAAAAAAAGAAACAAAACAGGACAAGAGGAAAGCAAAGGGAGAAGGAGAGCAUUGAUGCUAACCGCAAUGGAUCGAUGAAGACGAUGAACUCGGCCAAAUGUUCUUGGUCUGGUCCAGGACGAACAACUCUCGACACGAGCCAAAAUUAAUGUUAAGUGAUUACUCUAAGUAAGAACAAUCGCUUUAUGACAUUAUUAGUCAAAUCAAGUCUUGAGAGCACAAGAAUUGAAACGUUAUUUCAUUUCUGAUUUUCCAUUCCUAUGUGGAGAUUUUUGGGGAGAUGGGCUCUGGGUUGAUGUUUGAAUGAGUGUGGGGAAUGGAUGGUAAGAUUUUAAGAUUGGUUUGGAGCUGAAAAACCAGUAAAUAUGGAAGAUUAGGGCUUCAGAUGGAGAAGAUGAAAUAACGGGAGUGUUUGGAGGAGAUGAGGAAUCUUUGAACUUUUCAGACAUAUUAACGAAAUUGGGUCUUUAGUCCCUCACUGUUGGAUAGAUGGAGAUGAAUGUCCAGGAUUAAACACUUACCAAAAC
rnacentral:lncRNA from 1 species